rnacentral:rRNA from 1 species
GAUGAACGCUGGCGGCGUGCCUAACACAAGCAAGUCGAGCGGCAGCGAGGGGUGCUUGCACCCUGUCGGCGAGCGGCGGACGGCUGAGUAACGCGUGGGAACGUGCCCCAAAGUGAGGAAUAACUGCCCGAAAGGGUAGCUAAUACCGCAUAUUAUCUUCGGAUCAAAGGAUUUAUCCGCUUUGGGAGCGGCUCGCGUCGGAUUAGGUAGUUGGUGAGGUAAUGGCUCACCAAGCCGACGAUCCGUAGCUGGUCUGAGAGGAUGACCAGCCAGACUGGAACUGAGACACGGUCCAGACUCCUACGGGAGGCAGCAGUGAGGAAUCUUCCACAAUGGGCGAAAGCCUGAUGGAGCAACGCCGCGUGCAGGACGAAGGCCUUCGGGUUGUAAACUGCUUUUAUAAGUGAGGAAUAUGACGGUAACUUAUGAAUAAGGAUCGGCUAACUACGUG